GAUGAACGCUGGCGGCGUGCCUAAUACAUGCAAGUCGAGCGAAUGGAUUAAGAGCUUGCUCUUAUGAAGUUAGCGGCGGACGGGUGAGUAACACGUGGGUAACCUGCCCAUAAGACUGGGAUAACUCCGGGAAACCGGGGCUAAUACCGGAUAACAUUUUGAACCGCAUGGUUCGAAAUUGACAGGCGGCUUCGGCUGUCACUUAUGGAUGGACCCGGGUCGCAUUAGCUAGUUGGUGGGGUAACGGCUGACCAAGGCAACGAUGCGUAGCCGACCUGAGAGGGUGAGCGGCCACACUGGGACUGAGACACGGCCCAGACUCCUACGGGAGGCAGCAGUAGGGAAUCUUCCGCAAUGGACGAAAGUCUGACGGAGCAACGCCGCGUGAGUGAUGAAGGCUUUCGGGUCGUAAAACUCUGUUGUUAGGGAAGAACAAGUGCUAGUUGAAUAAGCUGGCACCUUGACGGUACCUAACCAGAAAGCCACGGCUAACUACGUGCCAGCCGCCGCCGUAA
rnacentral:rRNA from 1 species